GGGACACAUUCUGGACUCUCCUACCCUGAGCUCCAUGGCCUCCUCUGCAUGGUCGGUAAGAUGGCCCAGGUUCUCUCUGGACAUAUUUAUAACCUCCCUUUGGCACUUUCCUUUUCCAGCCUCUCGCGUCUGUCGGAGCCUCGCACACCUGGGGGAGUGAGGGCGGUAGGGGCCAGACAGAGAGACAGAGCUCCACCGUUCCCAGUGUUUCCAGGGCAGAGCAGCGCCAGGACAGGGCACAGGCAGCCAGCCUCUGGUUUAGGGGGAACUUCAAGGGUUGGGCUAUUUUUUUGUUCUUAGCUUAAAAGUAUUCCUGAAAUACACGGGCUCCUGCUGAAGACAUUUCCGUGCCUCUCCGAUUUCUGUGGAGGGAGACAGACAGUGGAUGGACUGUGAGUGUCUGGACUUCCCCAUGGUCCCAGGAGAGGGACAGUGGCUUGUGCAACCUGGAUGAAAUGUUUAUGACGUCUGCUUGUGACUGUUACCUCUUCUCAACCUGCACUACACCAGCGCAGAGCUUGCACUUAAGAAAUACCUGAUGAUGAGGCCGGGCAUGGUGGCUCACGCCAACACUUUGGGAGGCCAAGGUCCCAAGAUAAAGAACGCCAUUCAGGAAUCGUGCAGGCAUAGCUGGACUGGAUGGACUUAUGUCAAAUGACUACAGUUAAGAUCCUGGUGCUUAGAGUGGGCAAAACCUGGUAAGUGUAUUCAUCAACAUUACCAUACCUAGAAGAUUACUUCACCUGUGCUAGUGGGAACUGGGCUAAAAACCAGACAUCCUUAAAGGAGCUACUUGAACUAAUAAAAGAGCUACUUGAUUUUUUAAUUGGCAUUUGAACACAAGCAGAUGCCUCUCCGAUUUUUUUCUCUCCAAUAGGUUAAAUUUGCC
rnacentral:lncRNA from 1 species